AGCUACCCAGCUGGGGGUCCAUACUGCCAUAAAAUACACUGUGUCUCUUCUCUUCUAUUCUAUUGUAUUGGUACUCUGGUCAUGAUACAUUUCAAAAAGGCUCAGGAGUAUAAGAAGGUAUGCACUGUACAAUGUAGAGAAGCUUUACCAUCAGAGAGAUGCUUUACCAUCACGCAUCCUCUGUCCAUGACUCUGUCCAUCAGUGUUGGGUUCCCUUCUGCAGUUGCUGUGAGGAAGAUGCGGCACAGGAAACAAAACACACUCCAAGGAGAACAGAGGCCAAGAACAGCUACUGAAUCAUGACUGUGCUUUCAUGCCAGUGGGGAAGAAAUAGAGGGCAGAACUAGAGCUGUGCAGGUGGCUGGUGCAGCAGGCUCAUUUAGUGCUGAUCAAACCUUUCUGGGAAAGCAGCCACCAAGCUCCCCCAUCUCUGGCCAAUCUCCAUAUGCAUUCGUCUGCUUAUCAUUCACGAUGAGCUGCAUGUUUAAAGGAAGACUUCAGACUUUUUGGGACAAACUUUUAAACACACAUUACUUGCCAUCUGUGAAACAUUUGUUACAAAUCUUAAGAAACAACAUGUUUUAAUCAGUAAAUUAUAACCAGUCCAAUAAUUAAUUUGCCCAGCGUGUUGCAACUAUGCUUUCUAGACUGGCAACACCUUUGGGCAGUGCACACAGGCAAUUUUAACAGCAUGCACAGUAAUCUCAUGUGACUUUUGUUAAUAUCUCAUUCCCAUUUCUGCUGCAAGCAAAACAUUGCAUGGCCUCAAAACGGCGCCAGUGUUUUCACUUACAUUAUGAGUGUAAUAUUACUGUAGAACAUUACUGAGUUACAAAAAUGCCUCAAACAUUUGAUCUUUUGAAGCUCA